rnacentral:miRNA from 1 species
CCUAUUCACGAUUACUUGCCCC